rnacentral:rRNA from 1 species
GGGUGUGUAAGCGCAGCGAUGCGUUGAGCUAACCGGUACUAAUGAACCGUGAGGCUUAACCUUACAACGCCAAAG